UACGAAGGGGGCUAGCGUUGCUCGGAAUCACUGGGCGUAAAGCGCACGUAGGCGGAUUGUUAAGUCAGGGGUGAAAUCCUGGAGCUCAACUCCAGAACUGCCUUUGAUACUGGCGAUCUCGAGUCCGGGAGAGGUGAGUGGAACUGCGAGUGUAGAGGUGAAAUUCGUAGAUAUUCGCAAGAACACCAGUGGCGAAGGCGGACUCACUGGCCCGGUACUGACGCUGAGGUGCGAAAGCGUGGGUAGCAAACAGG
rnacentral:rRNA from 1 species